UCCUAGCUUUUGCACGUUUGCUUGAGCAAACAUUAUCUGUAUUCUUGUGGGAUACUGGAGGGAUUUUUGCAGCUGUAUCUAAAUCACCUAGUGUUUUUUCCCUCUGUCUAUCUUCACUAGCCAUGCCUGCCUGUAUAGAAAUAUCAUGUGAAGAGAAAGCAACUGCUUUAACUAAAAGUAAACUUUCUCCGAUCACAUACAAGGUUAUGUACAUCAGAUGACUUCCAAGAGAGCAGUCUUUCUGCCUACUCACCAUCAUCCAGAGGAGCUUCCUGGAUCCCUGCGCUUCCAUGAGAACGGAGGGGAGAUGCAGCUCCUACAGCCGCCAGGAGCCACCAGCUUUGAAGAAAGGGAUGAGAUGACCUCAUUAAGCAAUGCAAAAUUUACUCUUAAAAAUACAGACCAACAGAGCCGUAGAAACAACACAGUAUAUAUUUUUAAGUACCUUAGUCAAUUCAUUCAAAAACUGUACGUUGUCAGGAGGAGGGGAUGCAGUUUAAUAAUUUUAAUGGCCAACACUUAAUAAAAGAUUAAAGGUCUAAUACAUUAAAAAGGAAACUCUGCUGAUGGUAAU
ensembl:lncRNA